UACGGAGGGUGCGAGCGUUGUCCGGAAUCACUGGGCGUAAAGGGCGCGUAGGCGGCUUGGGAAGUCCGUGGUGAAAGCCCGAGGCUCAACUUCGGGUCGGCCAUGGAUACUCCUAAGCUCGAGUCGACUAGAGGCUAAUGGAAUUCCGGGUGUAGCGGUGGAAUGCGUAGAGAUCCGGAAGAACACCGGUGGCGAAGGCGGUUAGCUGGGGUCGGACUGACGCUGAGGCUCGACAGCGUGGGGAGCAAACAGG
rnacentral:rRNA from 1 species